rnacentral:rRNA from 1 species
UGGGGAAUCUUGCACAAUGCGCGAAAGCGUGAUGCAGCAACGCCGCGUGGGGGAAGACGGCCUUCGGGUUGUAAACCCCUUUCAGUUGGGACGAAGCUUCGACGGUUAAUAGCCGGCCGGAGUGACGGUACCUUCAGAAGAAGCCCCGGCUAACUACGUGCCAGCAGCCGCGGUAAUACGUAGGGGGCAAGCGUUGUCCGGAAUCAUUGGGCGUAAAGCGCGUGUAGGCGGUUCGAUAAGUCUGCUGUGAAAGUCCAGGGCUCAACCCUGGGAUGCCGGUGGAUACUGUAGGGCUAGAGUACGGAAGAGGUGAGUGGAAUUCCCGGUGUAGCGGUGAAAUGCGCAGAUAUCGGGAGGAACACCAAUUGCGAAGGCAGCUCACUGGGACGUCACUGACGCU